rnacentral:rRNA from 1 species
CGCGAAAACUUUACAAUGCGGGAAACCGUGAUAAGGGGACACCGAGUGCCAGCAUCCUAUGCUGGCUGUCCGGGUGUGUAAAAUACACCUGUUAGCAAGGGC